rnacentral:misc_RNA from 1 species
AAUAUCAUUCUUUGAUUUAGCGAUUUAUGAUAUUUAAAUCAUCACCCACUUUUAACAUAUUAUACUUUUAUCAUAUUAUACAUCAGUUUACAUCAUUAAACUCCAUUUUUAGGUGAAUCUAAUCCAACAUAUAUUUUAUGAAAAAUAGAUAUGAAGUUAAUUAUCAUAAUAUGCAUCAUCAUAAUUAGAAGAUUAUAAAAUACUCUAACAUAUAUAAAAAUAGUAAUUUUUUUUUAUAGAAAA